rnacentral:misc_RNA from 1 species
AAAAAAAAAAAAAAAGAAGAAGUUAAAAUGUUGAUAGAAGUCCUGAUCAAGCAAGUGUUUAUAAUGUUUCAGUAACAAGCAUGUAUUCAUAUCAAAGUCUUACUCCUUUUCAAUUUCCAAUAUCAUAUAUCCCACUGAACCACAGAUUUGAACCUCACAAGUCAUGAAACACCUAAGGCAGGACAGUGCUGGCUGUCCACAGAUGCCUACUCUAUGGAUUCAACAUGCAUAAAAGCAUAGCUGGUUUCCCAAGCAAGCACUGGAAGGCCAGGCACGCAAAUUUAAAGGCCAAUCCACCAGAAAACCGUUACAAAUGUAGGGUUAUUGAAAAUGUUCUAUCUAUAA